rnacentral:lncRNA from 1 species
UAUUUUUCAAUGUUUAUUUCGUAGUGUAAAUUCCAAAGAAGAUUGUGCAUGUGAAACAGGUUAAUACAAUUUAUCGGACAUAGGAUUUUCAAUGUUUUAUUCAGUGUUCUAAUUUCUAGAAAAGUGAAGGUUCCCCUUUAAAAGUUGUGGCAUCCCAGGUUAGAUAGCCAUGCAAGGAACAUUGAUCAUUUCCUAGACAAAUAUUUUUCAAGCUUUUAAUAUUAACUACCAAUGUGAAAUGCAUUUUCCACAAGUGCCCUUACUAAUAUAAUUGUAUUUUUAAUUAUGUCUACACCUCUAACAGCAACUGUCUGAUACAAUACACCUUUAGCUACUGAAAGCAUACACUGGCAAGGUUUUUGGUAAUACCCAAAAUAGUACUCCUCUCCCACACAUAGAAAAACUGUGUUAAAGGUUUACUUCAACCACCAUAACCAUUUCAGGGAUAUAAAGUGUUCAUGGUCGUAGGCGUCGAGUAUGUACAAUAUUUCAGCUUAAAACACUGCACAUAUCAAGAUAUUUGGAAUUCUGUGCUGAGGGCUAGUUGCACCCCCAGCACAAGUUACAAUAGCCGCCAAGAACCCCGGGCAGUUCCUGGCUGCUAAUUUUCAUUCUGUCCAUAAAGUAAUGGGAGAAAUCCUCCCUCCCUUCUCCUUCACUCCCCCUUCUCUUGUGAGCCUGGAGAGCUUGCAUGCAUUCUGAGCUGGCGAAUUGCUCCACGCAAGGCCCCUGUGAAGAAGGGGGCACAUAUGUCCAUGCCAGGAGCUUCACCCAAUGCUAUAUUCCAGGUAAAUAAAAUUACAUAUUUUGCAGGUUAUUCUCGAAAUCGAGGGGGGAGCUUGCUCCAUAGUGCCCAACAGGGCAAUUUACACAGGAAAGAUCCUUUCUACUCAAAAUGGUUAGAGUAAUCCUUUAACCCCAGACAGACCGUUUUUCAAUUUUCUUAUCGUUAAGGACCAAGGCUCUUUUUACAUUUCUGCGGUAUUUGUGUUUAGCUGUAAUUUUCCUCUUACUCAUUUACCUUACCCACACAUAUUAUACACAGUUCUUCUCGCCAUUAAAUGGUCUUUAUGAAGAUACCAUUAUUUUCAUCAUAUCUUAUAAUUUACUAUAAAAAAAUAAAAUAAAAUAUGAUGAAAAAAUGAAAAAAACUUUUUCGAACUUUGACCCCCAAAAUCUGUUACGCAUCUACACCCAUACUAAAUAGUUUCUAAAUUUUGUCCUAAGUUUAGAAAUGCCCAAUGUUAACAUGUUCUUAGCUUUUUUUGGAAAGUUAUAGGGCAAGUAACACGUUGCUAUUUCCAAACCAUUUUUUUUUUCAAAGUUAAUGCAAGUUACAUUGUAACACUGAUAUCUCUCAGGAAUCCCUGAAUAACCCUUCACAUGUACAUAUUUUUAAAAAGAAAAGAAAAUAAUUGGUGAUUUUUUUUUGACACAUAGCAAUUUUAAAAUACAUAUACGGAGAACUUUAAGGGUUACUGCCAACGAAUACCCCAAUAUGUGUUCAGCAACAUCUCCUGAGUACAGCGAUACCACCCAUGUAUAGGUGUGUCUGGUUCUCUUGGGGCUAAAAGAACUUAUUUGGAGGGUGCACAUUCCAGUUUUCCAACUUGGAAUUUUCACAGCUGGUCAUCAUGCACCCAUGUCCCAUUUGGGACAUUUUUGAAGCCAGCCAAUUUAAUUUACCCCCCCAUCAAACCAUAUUUUUUUGAAAAGUAGACACCCUAGGGUAUUUCAAAUGGUUGUAUUUUAACACUUUCCAUGCAAUAAUUCUACCACCAGUCUUUGUCAAACUUUUGGGUAGUCACUUUUUUGGUAUUUUUCACACACAUUGUACUUUAGGCAUGGAUUCUCAGCUUCUGUUAUGUAUUACUGCCAAAGAACACCACAAUAUGUGUUCAGCAACAUCUCCUGAAUACAGUGAUACCACCCAUGUAUAGGUGUGGCGGGUUCUCUGUGGGCUUAGAGGGUUCACAUUCCAGUUUUCCAACUGGUCAUCAUGCACCCAUGUCCCAUUUGGGACAUUUUUGAAUGUAAUUUACCCCCAUCAAACCAUAUAUUUUUGAUAGACACCCAAGGGUAUUUCAAAUGGUGGUCUUUUAACACUUUCCAUGCACUCAUUUUUGAAAAGUAGAUAUAUGUCUACUUUAUGUACAUAUAUGUCAAUAUGUGUUCAGCAACAUCUCGAGAGUACAACAGUGCCCCCAAUGUACAGGUUUUAUAGGUUUUUGCAAACUUACAGGGGGUCAAAUGUAGGGUUUUCCCCUUUUCCAUGUUUACACAUUGAAAUUUGCCAGAUUGGUUUGCUGAGCCUAUGUUGCCUUUGAGACCGUAUAGCAGCCCAGGAACGUGAAAUAACCCCAUCAUGGCAUACCAUUUUCAAAUGUAGACAACCCCGGGUAUUCCGAAUAAGGCAUUUCCAGUCCUUUGUAGUAGCCAAUUAGUCAUAAACGCUGGCCAAAGUUAGCAUUUUUAUUUGUUUUUUUUAUAAAUGUCCCCCCCCUCCCAAUUUAGAUUAUAUAUAAUACGUGUGUGUGUGUGUAUGUAUGUAUGUGUAUAUAUAUUUCCUGGCCAUAUCCAUGGCAGUACAACGAUGGGUAGCUCCUCCCUAUCCCUAAUUAGACAGAAACUAAUUAAAAUAAAUGUAUAAGUACCUCCUCCUAUCCCCUCCUCCCUCAGUCUUUUUUUUCCUGUCCUAUCCCUAUAGGACAUGUGUUUUUUCCUUGGAACUACUAUUUUUCUUUUAUGGCUUACCUGGGGAUUUGUUCCCCUGGGCCCUUGGGAGUUCAGCCUCUCUCCCUUGAGAAGUCUCCAGUUACACGGCCUUGCGCAAAGGUGACCCGGGGGUCUGGUACUUGCGGUAACCCAAGGGGUAGCAAGCUGUUCUGCCUGGUUCCCUAAUGCUACAGUGACCCUAGGGGUAGCAGUGGGCAGGUGAAUAUGGACCUGGACGUGUACCUUGCUGGUCUUGACUUCUCCCUGUUUCCGACUUCCCUCUGCCUUUUCCGCCGUUCUUCUGAAGGGGUAAGUCCCUGUGGUUUCUUUCAUUUUCACUUGGCGUUUGUUUUUUUGAAUGCACAUGCGUUCGUAUGGUUUGCUGAUUGGUUUUGUGCUUUUAACCGUUCGCCUGAAAUUUGAGCUGUUCGUAUGAAUUUUAGCCAUUCGCAUAAAUUCUGGUGAAUUUUGUUCACAUGAAUGGCUCAUUCGUCUGAUCAUUCGCCUGAUUCACACAGGUGAAAGCUCUGUGUUUGACGUCAGAUGCCUAUUUAACAGCCCCCUGGUUCUCACACUUGUGGGAAUCGUUCUGGCGAUUGCUGCAUUGCUUCCUCCUAUCUCCUGCUGGAUUUUCGUUUCGUCUGCUUUUCAUUAAGGUAAAUGUCUUUUUAUUUUUUAAGGUGGUAUUCUUAAAUUUGUUCUGAAUUUCAAUUUGAGAUUCUUUCUUGCAUUUGGUUCUGCAGAUGGAUAUGGAAGUCUCAUAUUCCUCUGAUUCUGAUUCUUUCCCACUUCACAAAAGGUCACAAUCUAAGUCUUAUAGGUAAGCCAUGUUUUUUCUGGUUUGUUUUAUUUAAAAGAGUGCAGAUCACUCACACACUGUUCUGUCCCUAUUUCUGCAGUUCUAAGGGGACUAGAGCUUCAGUGUUGUCCAAAGGGAAGUCGCCCAAAAGGACACAGUGUGAAUCCUGUGAUAACAGAGCCCUGGAGGGGAAACGUCUCUGUUUUUCUUGUCUAUUUGUGACUGCAGGCCCAUCUCAAAGGCAGUCCUCCAUCCAACCUGCGUCUGACAUAAUGCAGUCUAUUUCACAAGCAGGCGCUCUGGGCAUUCAGGAAGCUGGGAAGUCCUGCAAGCGACCAAGGUGUCUGGAACCUUCGGAAUCUCCUGACGUCUCUGAUGUGGAGUGUAUGACUAUGGAAUCCCUAAGAGAUCUGGGUUGUUCUUCUGAGGAUGAGGUGCUUCCAGCUCCAGAUUUCCUGUAACCUGCUGAAAUUAACCAUUUGAUAUCCAGGGUCCGCAAGACUCUGUUUGAAGGAACCUUCUAAGGAUGAGCCUUCCACAUCCAGUCGCCACUUCUCUGACCUCAGGAGGAAGAGGGCGGCUUUUAAAACUAUAAAAGACCUCAUCAAGGAGGAAUGGUCCAGAUUGGACAGAAAAUCCUCUGCAAAAGGAAGAUUUUCCAGACUGUAUCCUUUAGAGGACGCUGAAGCGUGGGAUUUGGCUCCCAAGGUGGAUGCGGCCGUGGUUAGAUUGGCCAAACGUACCACUUUGCCUGUUGAUGAUGCGGGUUCCUUCAAAGACCAUAUGGACAGAAAGAUGGACUUCAGUCUUUCCAAAGCAUAUGUACCUCUUAUGUCAGUAUCCAGGGCGUUUGGAUGGAGAAUUUGGAGGAGGAUAUUAAGAACAGCAGGAGCCGUCCCUCCAUACUGGACAACCUGAAGGAUCUGAAAUUGGCUGUUGACUUCUCAUCUGAGGCUGCGGUGGAUCUGGUGAGGUCCUUAGCCAGAAAUAUGGCUCUUUCAGUUUUGGCCAGGAGAGCGCUAUGGCUCAGAUCAUGAUCUGCUGAUGCCUCCUCGAAAGGCAGCUUGUGCUCCCUUCCUUUUCAUAGCAACAUGUUGUUAUUUGGCAAGAAUCUGGAUAAUUGUAUUAAACGAGCAGCCGAAGGUAAGGAAUUCUGCCUCAAGACAGGCCCAAAGCUUCCUUUCGUGCAAAAAGGCACUAUUACCUGUUUCGUAAUAGCAGAUCCUACAGACCGUGUAAGGAAUAUGGGAGAAAUCAGUCCUGGAGGAGCGGUCAACAUGGUGCUAGAGGAAGCAAGUCCCGAGAUUCCGCACCCUCCCAAAACCCCAGGAAUCUGUGACAGGCUCAUCUCCCUGUCAGGCGGUGUUGGAGUUCGUUUGCUACAAUUCCGUGUGGCAUGGGAGGAAUCUGUAAGAGACAACUGGGUUCUGGAUAUCAUCAGAAGGGGAUAUCUUCUAGAAUUUUGCAAACACCUUCCUUCCAGUUCCUUCCAAAUCACAAAGUGGCUGGGAGACAAAGUAAAAAGAAUUGCUCUCCAGGUCUUCACUUGUUCUAUACAAAAAGGAGUAAUUGUAUCAGUCCCGGAGUCAGAAAGGACUCACAGCUUCUAUUCACACCUAUUUCUGACCGAAAAGUCCUCAGGAGGGUGGAGACCCAUCCUAAAUUUACACAGACUGAAUCGAUACUAGUAUAUACCCAGAUUCAAGAUGGAGUCCCUUCAAUCUAUAGUGAAGGCUGUCUUUCCCAAUCAGUAGGUGUUAUCAACAGACUUGUUGGAUGCCUAUUUCCACAUCCCUAUAGCCCUGGCGCAUCAGAAAUACCUGAGGUUCGCAGUAGGGGAUGCUCAUUUCCAAUUCAGGGCCUUGCCCUUUGGUCUCAGCACGGCUCCAAGGACCUUCACGAAGUGCUUGUUGUUCUCAUCGCAGAACUGUGAAAACAGGGCAUAUCCAUCUUUCAUUACCUGGACAACAUACUGAUCGUGGUGGACGACAAGGAUUCUUUGUCCUCCCAUGCAACUGUUUGCCUUCAGUUCCUACAAUGUCACGGUUGGAGGAUCAAUGUCAAAAAGAGCCAUCUCUGCCCGAGUCAGUCCAUGACAUACCUGGGUGCUCUGUUCGACACCUUCACGGGGACGGUUCAACUCUCGCCAGAGAGGAUCCCGAGAAUACAGAAACAGGUUGUGGAGAUGUUGGCAUGCAAGGUGACUUUAGCAAAGAAGGCGAUGAGUCUCCUGGGUUCCAUGUCCUCCACGAUAGGACUGACAAGAUGGGCACAAUGGAGAAUGAGGAGUUUUCAGGCGAACUUCCUCUUCCAAUUCUCCUCAAAGAGUCUACUCCAGCCCAUCAAGAUUCCGUUGUCAGUUCACAAUUCCCUGGUUUGGUGGCUGAACAAUGUCUCCUUAGCCAAGGCUUCCCUCUGGGAGACGUUCCAUGGAUAGUAAUAACGACGGUUGCCAGCCAUUGGGGUUGGGGAGCCCAUUGACAACGCGUCUUUGGGCAGGAGUGGAAGUGUGUGUGUGUGUGUGUGUGUAUAUGUAUGUAUGUAUAUAUGUAUAUAUAUGUAUAUAUAUAUA